GGGGAUAUUAAAUUCUCAACUAUAGUUGUUGAUUUGUAUAUUUCUUCCCACAGUCCUGUCAGUUAUUGCUUUAUAUAUUUUGAAUUAUUACAAUUAUGUCGUAAGAUACAUAAAUAUCCAUAUACUUUUUACUGUUUCUUUUGAUCAAUAGGUAACAUUAUUCUUUGGGUUUUGGAUUCCAUUUUGUCAGGUUUUGGGACUGCCCUCCCAGCUUUCUUUGGCUUCAUAUUUGCCUGGUGUAUCUCUCCCCUCUCACAAUUUUUUUUUUUUUUUUUUUUAGCUUUUCCCUGUUUCUUUGCUUGAAAUGUGUCUAAGACAAUGUGUUGGUGGAUAUUGUUUUCUUUAAUCCAAUGUGGGAGUCUCAUUUUAAAUUGAACCUUUGAUUUUUACCGGGGCUCAUGGCUGCAUUGAAUGAGGACUCCGUUUCCUGUCUUCCUUUGUGGUUAGGAAUGAUAGAGAAGUACAUACUUAGACCCUUUACACAAAGUGAUGAACUUCAAGUUUUCUGCAGUGAGUUGGUGGAUUGAAUUGAGUUCCGGUCAUUCAGUGGGACAGGCCCUCCGAAUGUGUGACAAAGAAAGCAAGCCCUCUGCUCUCAAGUGGUUCAGGGAGACGGACAGGAGGAAAGCACAUUUGCUUAAGGAUAUGAACCACACAGAGGAAGGACUAAUUAGUGCUAAGGGGAGAUUGGAGGUGGCAGGUUGUUUCUUGAAGCCAGCUCUCAUUUACCUGCCUCUGUUGUUGGCAUGUAACAGCAGCCUGGUUUCAGGCGUGUGGUGUUUGAGGGAGCGUACUUGGCACCCCAGGAGAAAGCUGAAGAAAUGGCGUUGGAGUUUGAGAAGGCAGACUCAGUGUGCUGUGAGUCUGUGCUCGAAUCCCCAGGGAGUUCCUUACAGGGAAAGGAAGUGAACCUGCAGGAGACACAUUGGAAGAGAUGAAGGAGGAACCGUGGACAAGCCCAAGCACUGGGAAAUAAUGGGAGUACUCUGGCCUCAGCUCCAUGCCUGGAGGAGGCUGGCCUCGGGGGUAGAGGACUCAUUUCUCCUCCCGGCACCCGGGUGGGCUGGUGUCCUCCAUGUUCUCUCGCUGCCCUGCUUGGCCCAGAGGACAAGGGCAGGGGUGGGAAGAGUGAGUGGUGGAAACAUGAGGAGAAGAGCAAGGCCGUGCCUGCUGGGAACCCCCCGGGAUGAGGUCCUGGCGCAUUCUGCCCCAUGGCCCAGAUACUUUGCGCCCACCCCGAUCUCAAGUCUGCCUCACCCGCCACUUCCCUUCCCCUGUUUCUCUUCCCAGUGGGACUGUGGGAGGGAAGAUCUAAGAAAGUCUGUGCUGUUGCCCAUCUGGAAAAUGAGCUAAAAAAUCCGAGUUUGUAGCAAGCAUAAU